GAAUGCUUUUGCUGGCACAACCAGUAACUGCAGGCCACGUGAAAACAUCCAAACCGUUACUCAAACGCCGCUUUAAUCGAGCCGUCUAUUUCUGUCCCCGGAGCCAAUAAAUGACAAUGGAUCGCGUACCCUUUUCUUUGCAGUUUCUUCGUCCCUAUCUUGUUUUCCUUCUGAUCCUUGUGGUCGUGCGUUGAUUGGUGGUUGGGCAAAUUCUUCGCGGCUCUGUUUUCCUCUGUGGAGGAUGGUCGAGGUUGGCUCGUCGAUCAUGUCUUUACUUCUUUCAUCGGUGAGUCAGAUCGUUUAUUUCUUUCGGGUCGGUGAUUAUUCCUUGUUUCACCGUGGUUGGCCGGCUAGAUCGACGAGAAGUGGUUAGUUUAUCUUGCUUCUCUACUCUCCUGGUUGUUUCUUGGUGGUUCGAUUUUAUACUUCCAGAGCCAAGUAAACAAUAUGGUUGAAGUGGCUCUCCAUGUGUUCCUUCUCGAGUUCAUCUUGAUUUAUUAGAAUUCUAGUUGAGAUGGAUCUGCGGAUCUGUGAGUAUUCACAAAAAGCAUGGGCCAUGCUCUGAAUUUUCGAAUUGUAACUGCAUCUUUUCUCGCAAGGGCACGGCAUGGGACGUCGUUCAGGCGUUGUCUACCUGCUUGAUCAGGGUUGUCUGACUGUUUCAUACAGCGGAUCCAGGAGGAGGAUGUUCCAUGAGUGCUAUUGCGAACUGUGGAUCUGCAUGGAGGUUAAGGUAAAUUAGGAUCUUUGUUGUUUCCUCUACUCUGUUACCUCGACCUUUGCCAUGUCGGGUGCGCUCGCUUGGCAGGUCAAAAAAAUAAUAAUAAAGGAAUUUUUUUUGGUGUGUGGGGAUCGCAUGGGGUGCUUUUAGGCCCCGGGUUCCCCCUUCUGUGCCUUGUUCUCUGCUUUCCAUCAUCGUGUGCCAGAUAUUUAUGAGAGCUCCGUCUGCCACGAAAGCCUAACGCCAUUUUCGCCAUGAUUCAAAGCAAUUCGAUCUACAAAUUUACAAAGGUAUAUAUAUUCAUGUCUUUCAUGUUCAAAAGAAAUAGCAUCAAGGCUCAGCAUUGAAACGGCGACCAGUUUCACAAGGUAUAAGAUAAUCUCAUCCACUGAUUUCACUUUGUUCUAAAAUAUUUGUUAUGUUCUAAAGAGAGUACGGUCAAAUAUUAAUUACGUUUUUAUGAUUUAUUGCGUCCAAUGUUCUUCGAUCGUUCAUUUAUUACGAGUUCUCAAAUAAAUAAUUUUUUUUUGAUUGUUUCGCUUCAUUAAUCAACCACGUCUAUCAGCAAUUGCUGAUUGUUAGCCUGAUCUUGUCUUCACAACGAUGUCCGAUUUUUUUAUUCACAGAAAUAAUAUGAUUAUCAAUUGAUUUUUUAGUUUUGUAAUAGUAAAUUGUAUCUUUGCUACCGAGUUGUAUCCCUUAGGUACGCAUGCUUUCGUGAACAUGUAUUUAUAGAUCAUACAUUGUUCGGAAGUCAAGGAUUUGAAGACGAAGGUGGACUACUUUCCUUUCAGCAUGGAUUAUAAAGAAUUCCAUUGGGACGCGUUGAUGCUAUUUGGCCGUCGUUGAUUGUUUACAUUCAAGUUCAAUUUUCAGCUGAGAACGCAACUAAUAUGCUUCACCGUGAACCAGAAUUGAUAUUCAACACAUUCUGCAACAAAUGCAAUCUUUACCUUGUGACCCAAAGCUAACAUAUUGAUUCAUAAAGGUAUAGAUUUAUUGGAAAUUUGGUAAAAUGUGCAUUUAACAUCAUAAGUUUGAUGUUUUUUUUUUGCUUCUGGUUUCUGUGUUAUCAUGCUCGUUCAAUUCGCAAAAUGUUUUUCUUGCUUGGUACUUGUUCUACAACGUGCAGCUGUAAUUUUUGGUACAGAUAGAUUUGUUAUUUGUCAUUUGGUUUCAAA